rnacentral:lncRNA from 7 species
GGUUUUGGUAGUUAAUGGAUUUGCUGUGUGGAUGGGCAUAUUAGUUCAAGUAUUGUAAUAGUUGUAUUGUACAAGCUAGAGGAGACGAAAGCAUCUUUACCUAUGGGAUCCCAGUUAUGUCUUCUGAGUAGCUAAUGCAACAAACUCAGGGUUAGGAAGAACAGCCCAUGUGCUAAUGAAAUGGACUACGUUCCUCUGUAGAGAAGAGGACUUUACCUGUGGAUGAUGUGCUGGCUUCAGGCAAAUGGUGAUCUGGCUUUCCAAGGAAAAGAAACUCAACUCCAAAGAAGUCCAUGUUCCUUGUGCAUUCUGGUGUAGGAGCAUUAAGAUCUUCACUGAAGUUCUUUUCAGUGAUCAUUGCUGAGCAAAUCUGAAAUUAACAAGUGGAACGGCCUCACCAAUUAUGUUAUAUAAGAAAAAGUUGAGCAGAGCAUAUAAAGCUAACUUGUGUGAAAUGAAAACAUUCGGUCUCUUCUGGAAGAAAAAAGAUCUCUUUCAGAGGGGUGGGAAAAGUUGUUUGGUCAUGUACUUUUUUCUGGACCUUGGAGAUUGAGCCACUUAGUUUAUUUUUAAAUCUGCAUUUACAAAUAUCUCACUGUCCUUGCUACAAAGAAAUAUUUGUGCAUCUUUGGAGAACAACAGAUAAGCAUGAAAAUAUCCUCCAAGACAAAGCAGAUGCAAAGCAUCCUUUCUCAGGCUACUGUAAAACUGUGGGUGACUUGAGUAUAUAUUUUUUUCCUGUUGUGUUUUUUCCUUGUGUGAGCUAUUUGUUCCUUGCCUUCUGAGUAACCAGAAUGAAUGACAAGCAAGGGAUAGUGGAACUUCUCCUUUUGAGCUUUUGUACCCUUGCAGACUCUACUUGUAGUAGAUGUUCAUUUAGGAAGGAUGUAAGGGGCAACUUGUUCUUAAAGUUGUGUAAUCUUACUGUUGUAUGUGAACUUCUCACAGCAAAGAGUUUCACCUAUUGCCUUGGAAAUGCAGAACAAUUUCAAGUUUUAUCUCCUAUCUCCUGUUUAUCACUUCUAGAUCAAUGCUUUUUGAUUUUUCCAGAACCACUUGUAAAACACAAAACAAACAUUUUAAAAAAUAAAGUUUAUCUGU